UACAGAGGGUGCGAGCGUUAAUCGGAGUUACUGGGCGUAAAGCGUGCGUAGACGGUUAUCUAAGUCGGAUGUGAAAGCCCCGGGCUCAACCUGGGAAUUGCAUUCGAGACUGAAUAGCUAGGGUGCGGUAGAGGGAAGCGGAAUUUCCGGUGUAGCGGUGAAAUGCGUAGAUAUCGGAAGGAACAUCAGUGGCGAAAGCGGCUUCCUGGACCAGCACCGACGUUCAGGCACGAAAGCGUGGGGAGCAAACAGG
rnacentral:rRNA from 1 species